GUUGGUUAGCAAGUCGAACGUUGUCAGCAGUAUAGAAGCGCCUCUAGUAGCGUUAAAUCUGGUGAAAGUCUCUUGUUAUACCCACUGCAAUUCGGGUAUUUCCCGGUUUAAUUAGCAACAUCGAGGAUUUCGAUCAUGGCAACUGGUACCGUUAAGUGGUUCAACGACACUAAAGGUUUCGGCUUUAUUUCUCCUGAUGACAAUGGCGACGACCUGUUCGCGCAUUUCUCAGAAAUUCAGGCAGAAGGCUUCAAAUCCCUGCAAGACGGCCAGAAGGUUUCCUUCGACGUCACCCAGGGUAAAAAAGGCCUUCAGGCUUCUAACAUCAAAGUAGUUUAAGUUAAUUCUUAAGCAUUGAGAUGUUAGCAAUCAUCGCCUAGCGUUGAUUGACCAGGAAACCCCGCCAAGUGCGGGGUUUUUUGU
rnacentral:sRNA from 1 species